rnacentral:rRNA from 1 species
UACAGAGGGUGCGAGCGUUAAUCGGAGUGACUGGGCGUAAAGGGCAUGUAGGCGGCUAUAUUAGUCUGAUGUGAAAGACCUGGGCUUAACCUGGGAUACGCAUUGGAAACGGUAUGGCUAGAGUAUGGGAGAGGGAAGUGGAAUUUCCGGUGUAGCGGUGAAAUGCGUAGAGAUCGGAAAGAACACUCGUGGCGAAGGCGGCUUUCUGGCCCAAAACUGACGCUGAGGUGCGAAAGCAUGGGGAGCAAACAGG